rnacentral:rRNA from 1 species
UUCACGGAGAGUUUGAUCCUGGCUCAGGACGAACGCUGGCGGCGUGCUUAACACAUGCAAGUCGAACGGUGAACUGGAGCUUGCUUCGGGGAUCAGUGGCGAACGGGUGAGUAACACGUGGGCAACCUGCCCCUGACUUUGGGAUAACUCCUCGAAAGAGGGGCUAAUACCGGAUAUGACCAUUGCGGGCAUCUGUGGUGGUGGAAAGGUUUUUCGGUUAGGGAUGGGCCCGCGGCCUAUCAGCUUGAUGGUGGGGUGAUGGCCUACCAUGGCGACGACGGGUAGCCGGCCUGAGAGGGCGACCGGCCACACUGGGACUGAGACACGGCCCAGACUCCUAC